GAUGAACGCUAGCGGCAGGCUUAAUACAUGCAAGUCGAGGGGCAGCACAGAUAGCAAUAUUGGGUGGCGACCGGCAAACGGGUGCGGAACACGUACACAACCUUCCUUUUAGUGUGGGAUAGCCCAGAGAAAUUUGGAUUAAUACCACAUAGUAUAUUGGAGUGGCAUCACUUUGAUAUUAAAGAUUUAUCGCUAAAAGAUGGGUGUGCGUAUGAUUAGGUAGUUGGUAGAGGUAACGGCUCACCAAGCCUUCGAUCAUUAACUGGUGUGAGAGCACGACCAGUCACACGGGCACUGAGACACGGGCCCGACUCCUACGGGAGGCAGCAGUAAGGAAUAUUGGUCAAUGGACGGAAGUCUGAACCGGCCAUGCCGCGUGAAGGAUGACGGCCCUCUGGGUUGUAAACUUCUUUUAUGUGGGACGAAAAAGGGCCAUGUUUGGUCAACUGACGGUACCAUAGGAAUAAGCACCGGCCAACUCCGUGCCAGCAGCCGCAGUAA
rnacentral:rRNA from 1 species